CAGGCGGGCGCUGCCGUAGCGCGAGCCCGACGUCGUGUCUGGAGCGGUAGUGACUGGGGCUUGGGCGCCGCCUGCCCGGGCGGAGAUCCGGGUUUACCUAGCGCGGGGCCCAGGGCCCUGACGCGGGUGAGGCGGCCCGGAGAGCAUGAGCGGGCAGCGCGUGGACGUCAAGGUGGUUAUGCUGGGCAAGGAGUACGUGGGCAAGACGAGUCUGGUGGAGCGAUACGUGCACGACCGCUUCCUGGUGGGGCCCUAUCAGAACACCAUCGGAGCCGCCUUCGUGGCCAAGGUGAUGUCUGUCGGAGACCGGACAGUGACUUUGGGUAUUUGGGACACAGCAGGCUCUGAGCGCUACGAGGCUAUGAGUCGAAUCUACUAUCGAGGUGCCAAGGCUGCCAUUGUCUGCUAUGACCUCACAGACAGCAGCAGCUUUGAGCGGGCAAAGUUCUGGGUGAAGGAACUGCGAAACCUAGAGGAGGGCUGUCAGAUCUACCUGUGUGGCACCAAGAGUGACUUGCUGGAGGAGGACAGGCGGCGUCGACGUGUGGACUUCCAUGAUGUCCAGGACUAUGCAGACAAUAUCAAAGCUCAGCUCUUUGAAACAUCCAGCAAGACAGGCCAGAGUGUGGACGAGCUCUUCCAGAAAGUGGCAGAGGAUUACGUCAGUGUGGCCGCCUUCCAGGUGAUGACAGAGGACAAAGGCGUGGACCUGGGCCAGAAGGCAAACCCCUACUUCUACAGCUGUUGUCAUCACUGAACCACCACUUACUUGGCCUGGGGGAAUUAAAGGAACUCCCCAAGGGGCUGGACCUAGUUCUUGUCUGGGCUUGGGUGGUCAAACAUGUAAGCUACCCCAGUCCCCAUGGCAGCAGAGGUGGCACCUGUCUGUGCUGGCCCAUGGAACGUGCAGCAUUGGGCUGACUGAUGGUCAUCAGGAAGGGGAAGCUGCCUGGACCAGACUUCCUGCCAGUGUUCUCACAGGCGACCUGGGAGUCCAGCUCCAGGUCUUGCCCUCUUCCAAGAGACCAGCAAGUCUGUGCCAAUGUCUGUGUGCUCCCAG